CUCAUGCUUUGGUCUCUGGCCACAUGUUUCUGUGGCCCCAAGCAGUCUGCAGCCUGGAGACUGAAGCCUGCUGACACAGCCCUCCAGGAUGCCAUCCCAAAAGCUUGUGCCCAGUGUACCAGACUGGCUCUCAGUUUGGGACCAGCUGUCAGUGGAGACACAUGGGUGGAAGGCUGUCACAUCCCGAAGAACAGAAGACCCCCAGUGGACCCUCCAGUGGACUCCAACCCACCAGCAGUAAGCAGGGACUGUGGCAGGGUUUUGUACAGACUUUCCUUGAUGGGAGGAUAUUCAUCAUGGCACAGGGCAGAAGAUUUUUACGAAUGUGAAAAACACAUGAUGGAAAAGUUGGAACUCCACCAUCCCCUGCACCCCAACCUCACGCCACCUGACACCCAGGAUUCCUUUUCAGGUCAGGGUGUUAAUGCAAAAUAAAACAGUCCAAAAACACUGAGCAAUCAAAAUAAAGUCCAGACCAAA